rnacentral:rRNA from 1 species
AGAUUGAACGCUGGCGGCAUGCCUUACACAUGCAAGUCGAACGGUAGAGUAGCAAUACUCGAGAGUGGCGAACGGGUGAGUAAUAUAUCGGAACGUGCCCAGUCGUGGGGGAUAACGUAGAGAAAUUUACGCUAAUACCGCAUACGUCCUACGGGAGAAAGCGGGGGACCUUCGGGCCUCGCGCCAUUAGAUGAGCCUAGGUCGGAUUAGCUAGUUGGUGAGGUAAUGGCUCACCGAAGGCGACGAUCCGUAACUGGUCUGAGAGGAUGAUCAGUCACACUGGAACUGAGACACGGUCCAGACUCCACGGGAGCAGCAGGUGGGAAUGUGACAAUGGGCAAAGCCUGAUCCGAAGCCAUGCCGCGUGUGUGAAGAAGGUCUUCGGUAUUGUAAAGCUACGUUUAAGUGGAAGGUAAGGUUAGUAACUUAGUAACGUUGACGUAACUUUGACGUUACC